rnacentral:rRNA from 1 species
CUCAGGAUGAACGCUAGCGGCAGGCUUAACACAUGCAAGUCGAGGGGUAACAGGUAGCUUGCUAUGCUGACGACCGGCGAACGGGUGCGUAACGCGUAUAGAAUCUGCCUUGUACAGGAGGAUAGCCUUUAGAAAUGAAGAUUAAUACUCCAUAAUGUUAAUUAGAGGCAUCUCUUAUUAAUUAAACAUUUAUGGGUACAAGAUGACUAUGCGUCCUAUUAGCUAGAUGGUAAGGUAACGGCUUACCAUGGCAACGAUAGGUAGGGGGUCUGAGAGGAUUAUCCCCCACACUGGUACUGAGACACGGACCAGACUCCUACGGGAGGCAGCAGUGAGGAAUAUUGGUCAAUGGAGGCAACUCUGAACCAGCUAUGCCGCGUGCAGGAAGACUGCCCUAUGGGUUGUAAACUGCUUUUAUACAGGAAGAAACAGUAGUACGUGUGCUACCUUGACGGUACUGUAAGAAUAAGGACCGGCUAACUCCGUGCCAGCAGCCGCGGUAAUACGGAGGGUCCAAGCGUUAUCCGGAAUCAUUGGGUUUAAAGGGUCCGCAGGCGGUCAAUUAAGUCAGAGGUGAAAGCCCAUCGCUCAACGAUGGAACUGCCUUUGAUACUGGUUGACUUGAGUUAUACGGAAGUAGAUAGAAUAAGUAGUGUAGCGGUGAAAUGCAUAGAUAUUACUUAGAAUACCGAUUGCGAAGGCAGUCUACUACGUAUAUACUGACGCUCAUGGACGAAAGCGUGGGGAGCGAACAGGAUUAGAUACCCUGGUAGUCCACGCCGUAAACGAUGGAUACUAGUUGUUGGGUUUCGACUCAGUGACUAAGCGAAAGUGAUA